GUUAAAUUGGCAGAAAUAGUGCUUUAAAUUUAGAAUUUAAUAAAACAAUAAUAAAUUGUAUUUAAU
rnacentral:tRNA from 1 species